rnacentral:rRNA from 1 species
UGCGUAGGCGGCGUUAUAAGUCAGAGGUGAAAGGCCACCGCUUAACGGUGGGACUGCCUUUGAUACUGUAGUGCUUGAAUAAGGUUGAGGUUAGCGGAAUGUGACAUGUAGCGGUGAAAUGCAUAGAUAUGUCAUAGAACACCAAUUGCGAAGGCAGCUGGCUAGACCCUUAUUGACGCUGAGGCACGAAAGCGUGGGGAGCGAACAGGAUUAGAUACCCUGGUAGUCC